GAGUAGAUAGACAUCGGCGUAAAGAGUGGUUAGGGCACAGAAAACUAAAGCCAAAUACCCUCAAAGCUGUUAUACGCACCCGAGGGGACGAAGCCCUAUCGCGAAAGUAGCUUUAUCUACCUCGCCUGAACCCACGACAGCUAAGAAACAAACUGGGAUUAGAUACCCCACUAUGCUUAGCCAUAAAAUUUGGCAGUAAAGUACAACUACUGCCCGCCAGGGGACUACAAGCGCCAGCUUAAAACCCAAAGGACUUGGCGGUGCUUCAGA
rnacentral:rRNA from 1 species